AAAUUAGUGAUCAUCUCAGUAAAGUGACCAUAAGGUAAAGGGAUCGAAUCCUCAAGCAGACAAGCCGGAACGGAUACGCGCUUGAAAGGAACGCUCUAAAGGUGAAGUAGGUGAUAUUCCGGAUGGCGAUCAAGCAAAUAACAAGAACCGAACACAUUACUUUUGAAGCUUCCGCAAGAAUAUAUUUUGUUUUAGAUGAAAAUGGAACAUAUUUUCUGCAAUAUGAAUAA
rnacentral:lncRNA from 1 species